AUUAUAAAAUAAGGGUCUCCUGAGCUAGGAACAUAAUAGAAAAUAAAUGGAUAAUCUUCAUGACAAAUUCUUGAUAAAGGGAGGGAAAUUUUUCUUCAUGCCAGUGGAGUAGCACCUACCAUUUGGAACACGUUCAUAACAAUGACUUGAAUUCUGUUUUUCCAGGUCAUUAGUUUCUUCACAAUGUAAUCUCUGAUGUGACUGAGGAACCCAGGUAAAAAUAAUUUGCUUAGUUUGGGAAAUGGGAAGGAGAGACAGUCUAGUAAGAUGCGAUAUUGUGCUUUUAAUAUGAGUUACUACAUCAUCUUAUAAAGCCACAAAUAAACAUUUCUGUACUGGGUUAAGCACCUCUGCUAAUGAAAUCAUACAGAGAAUUUGCAACCCUCCUUGUGAUUUUGCCUAAUACCAGGUCGAGUCCUGUAUAAGCAUCAUGGUCAUACUCUGAUUCUUGGUUGCUGUUAUCCUACAGUUUCAUUCCUGUUUUGUGGCAUGAGAGCAGGUUGUCAAGGGGCUCAAAAGGUUGGUUUUCUUACUGUAUGGAAUUAAAAUUGCAUUUAAAGCUCACUUAAAUUCUACUUCCUUAAGGUCCCCCUAGAAUUGUAAUUGUAGUCUCCAGACUUGUGUCAAGGUUCACCCUAUCUACCUGCAAGCUUACCUGGAGCAAGACUGAACCAAAGAAAGUUAUUUAUAAAUAUGAAACACGUACAGGUUGUGUUUGACUUCACAGUGAUCUGUUAAUUUCUAAAAAGCAUGAAACGUGGCACUGCAUGAUACAAAUAAGAGGACAGUAUAAAAUUCCCAAGUCUGCAAAAAAGACUUGUUUCUCUGUUUGCCUGCAUUGCUGGUUGCAUUCAUUGUGUACAAGAUUAUUUGGGAAUCCAAGUACAUGAGGCAGAGGUCUUUCAGCAUUACUACUGAAUCCCUUCCACUGAUGUUUGCUGGUCUUUAGCCCUUUCUGUGAUAUUUUGAUAUUUGCUAUUCAGUGGAAUCCCUUUUUUUUUUUUUUUUUUUUUUUUUGCUUGUUUCCUUUGACUCAGCUUGUCAGCUGAAUCCUAUUGCCACUGCAAUUCAAACAAGUUUGGAUUAAUGCAGAGUCAUGUCACUUGUUUGCAGAAAAAUGUCUUUGCCAUUGUUCAGAAUCAACGUCACACUCAGGCUGGCUCCUUGGGAGGUGCUGUUGAUAGAAGGAGCCAUCUUCACUGCACUAUAUUGUACAUGUUUUAUAGCUGCUGGCACUACAUGUACUGGUUUUACAUUCAGUUUUGCAUCACUUUAUUCAGAUUCAAGGUUUUAUUUUCAUUUUAGCAUAUUUAUGAAGGGUUUUCUGCAGGGUGAUGGGAUUAAGUCCCAAAUAUCCUACAUUUUCUUUAAGAAGUAUAAUAGACCUCAUCCCAUUUCCUCUUAACUGUCUUUAAGACAUAACUUUAGUUGCACCAUUUUAGUAGAAGCAGCUUGAUGGAUGUUUCCUGAAGACUGUGCCUUUUUUUGCUCUUCUCUUAGCCCUACCACCUACUUGUAUCUGAUCUUGAUUGACCGUGGUUGUAUGAACCUUCUUCACACCUUUCUACUUCGCUUAUUUUGAUUUCUCUAUCCAGUGGUCAUUACUUGACCAGAAUUCCAGGGGGCAAGUCUGUAUUUGGUGUUUCAUAAUAACAUGUGAAAUUCUAUUACUGCAUAUUUGCAUUUUUGUUUUUAUUUUUUAGAAAUGCAUUUUUGUGUUGUCCCUCAUUAGUAUAGUCAAGGAUUCAAAGAGGAAAAUCUGCUGUGCCUGGUAAGUGUUUAGGAGGCUUACAAGUCAUAGAAAUGUCUUUAAUAAUAAGGUUUACACCUCAUACCAUGACAAGUGUCUUGACCAGAUGAAGGAUGUAUUUUCAUAGCAUUCCCUGUUCAUUUUUGGCUAGUGCUUAUUGUGCACUCGUGCCUGCAGCUUAAUUUGCAAGAGACACAAUGUGGAUGCAAUCUUUUUAUGGGACCAUACAGAGAAUUUGCUACUCUUCAACCUUGGAAUCCUUUUUAUUAACUUAGUUUUAGUGUUCCUCUCUGGCAGGUUGUAUAACAGGUUUUGUAUAACACAGUUAUUUAGUCCACUGCAACCAGAGCCGUGAGGAUGUUGCAGCUCAGCUGUGAGAAGCCACUGAAUGUGGAGAUUGCUGUCCAGUUUGGCUGUCUACAGAAGAUCCAUCUCUUAAAGAAGCCAAGCAUAUUUGUUGAC
rnacentral:lncRNA from 1 species